UACGUAGGGGGCUAGCGUUGUCCGGAUUUAUUGGGCGUAAAGAGCGUGUAGGCGGCCAGGUAGGUCUGCUGUGAAAACUCGAGGCUCAACCUCGAGAUGUCAUCGGAAACCAUCUGGCUAGAGUCCGGAAGAGGAGAGUGGAAUUCCUGGUGUAGCGGUGAAAUGCGCAGAUAUCAGGAAGAACACCAAUGGCGAAAGCAGCUCUCUGGGACGGUACUGACGCUGAGACGCGAAAGCGUGGGGAGCGAACAGG
rnacentral:rRNA from 1 species